GAUGAACGCUGGCGGCGUGCCUAAUACAUGCAAGUCGAGCGAACAGACGAGGAGCUUGCUCCUCUGACGUUAGCGGCGGACGGGUGAGUAACACGUGGAUAACCUACCUAUAAGACUGGGAUAACUUCGGGAAACCGGAGCUAAUACCGGAUAAUAUAUUGAACCGCAUGGUUCAAUAGUGAAAGACGGUUUUGCUGUCACUUAUAGAUGGAUCCGCGCCGCAUUAGCUAGUUGGUAAGGUAACGGCUUACCAAGGCAACGAUGCGUAGCCGACCUGAGAGGGUGAUCCGCCACACUGGAACUGAGACACGUCCCAGACUCCUACGGGAGGCAGCAGUAGGGAAUCUUCCGCGAUGCGGGAAAGCCUGACGGAGCAACGCCGCGUGAGUGAUGAAGGUCUUCGGAUCGUAAAACUCUGUUAUUAGGGAAGAACAAAUGUGUAAGUAACUAUGCUCGUCUUGACGGUACCUAAUCAGAAAGCCACGGCUAACUACGUG
rnacentral:rRNA from 1 species